CAUAAAUUAAUUAGAUUUAUAUGAUAGUGAUAAUAAAAGAAUAAUUAUUAAAAAAUAAAAGAGAAAAAUCUAAUAUAGCAGCAACGUUAUUUCCUUCUACACCAAACAGUUAUGUGAGUGAAGUCUCUUCCUGUGAGCUUGUUCCUUCUGAUUCUAUGAUUCUAAAUAAGAACUACUAAGCUAAUACCUUUUUGGAGCAAUCAUCAUUCUCUGAAUUGCAUUUCUCUUUCUCAGUUUAUUCAGCUGACACAGGUUAAGAAUUAUUGCCUUAAUAGAGAAAUUUGAUGUUACUCGCACAUAGUUAUUAGGGGAGUAUAACAAUGGCUACUGCAGCAGUUAUUGGACUCAGUGGAGGCAAGAGGAUUUUGAGUUCAUCAUACCAUUACUCUGAUGUUACCGAAAAGCUUUUAUUUGGCACUGAUUUUGGAUCCACACACUAUCAGAUUGUUCCAACAAAGUCAAGCAUAGAUAUAAAAUAUGCAAGUAGAUUGACAUCUUUUUUAUAGAUAUUAAUUACUAUUUUGUUAUGACAAUUAUUGUUAGACAAGAAUUUUAUUAUUUUGUUGAGAAUUAUUGAUGAACAUGUAUUUAAAAUACUAAUUGAACUUUU